rnacentral:lncRNA from 1 species
CAGCCUUCAUCAGCGACUCAUGAUGCUCAUCUCUACAGCCCAGAGGACAUUUAAAGAACUAAAUAAAGAUAUAGAAGGCGGCCCCUUCUCUCAUCAGUAAGCCUUACCAUCUAAGGGACACUCUGGACAUCGGAAGAUUCCAAGUCGUCUCUUAUGGAGGAUUCAUCUGGCGACUCAGCAGGUUAGUGAAGAAAAAGUUAGAAGAAUAUUACCCUAAAUCACGGUCAGGUGAUAAGGGUCUGCAUUAUGACAGCUGGAACUGAAGUGAAUGAAAUAAAUGUGAGCACCACAAAGGAAGUCUCAUCGGGGCUUGGCUGAAUAUAAAGAGAGGGAGGAAUUAAAAUGUGUUCUGUUUUUCAUGUGUUCUCCACAGCCAUUUACUCAUGUGGUAUAUCCUCUGUGCACAUUUCUCAAGUGCUCCUCUGAGGUGUGGACAGCAUUCCACACACAUUGGACAAAGACUGCUGAACCAGCCGAAAUCUACAGAUGAAGACUCCAUAAAAGUAACAAGCAAGGAAAAAUAAACUACAUGACAUGCCUUGA